AUCACUUCUAAGCCUUUUGGCUUAGAUCAAGUGUAGUAUCUGUUCUUAUCAGUUUAAUAUCUGAUACAUCUCCUAUCCAAGGACAAUAUAUUAAAUAGAUUUGGGGAGCAGAAAAAUGGAAGAGGAGCUUGCUCUGUCCAGUCCAUGCAUCGACCUGGUAUUGCAGUACCUCCAGGAACAGUGCAGCCCCU
ensembl:snRNA U2 U2 spliceosomal RNA